UUAUAAUUUCUUCUGAUUUAAGCAUUUAUCAUACUUUUUUUUAAGGGAAACUAUCGAAGCUUCUUAAAUAUUUUUGUCUAGUAAUUAAACAAGAUAAAAAGCUACCAUCAGAAACCAGCAAUUCAAAUAAUAUUUACUACUUGGAAAAUGAAAAUUCUGAUUCAUCAGGUAAAAUUUUAAUAAGAAUGUCUAAAUAAAACAAUUAAAUAGGGAGUCUCAUAAAAUACAAAAAAAAGUUUAUCUUAUGUAAUUUUUAAAAUAAAUUUGUUAGCAUUAGUGUUCACAUCAUUUUAAAGAUUUACUGCUCCUUUGGCAUGUAUAUUAGUCUUUUUCAAAUCCGUCGAGAAGAACAUUAGAAAUUAUAAAGAUUGCGUUAAAACAUGCCAACUAUCUUAAGAGGGUUGGAUUAUAUGUUGUAUAUUUUUUCAUUAUGAAAUAAAAGAUUUUUUUGAAUGUUAACAUGUAUAAUAAAAUAUAUUUAUUUUAAAAUAUUGAGGAAUUUAUGGGUCAGCUAGACAGUAAUUUUAAAUUUCAUUAAAAUAAGAAAUUGAAACAU